rnacentral:rRNA from 1 species
GACCAGACUCCUACGGGAGGCAGCAGUGGGGGAUAUUGCACAAUGGGGGGAACCCUGAUGCAGCGACGCCGCGUGGGUGAAGAAGCGCCUCGGCGCGUAAAGCCCUGUCAGCAGGGAAGAAAAUGACGGUACCUGACCAAGAAGCCCCGGCUAACUACGUGCCAGCAGCCGCGGUAAUACGUAGGGGGCAAGCGUUAUCCGGAUUUACUGGGUGUAAAGGGAGCGUAGGCGGCAGUGCAAGUCCGGAGUGAAAGCCCGGGGCUCAACCCUGGGACUGCUUUGGAAACUGUAAAGCUGGAGUGCGGGAGGGGCAGGCGGAAUUCCUGGUGUAGCGGUGAAAUGCGUAGAUAUUAGGAGGAACACCAGUGGCGAAGGCGGCCUGCUGGGCUUUUACUGACGCUGAGGCUCGAAAGUGUGGGGAGCAAACAGGAUUAGAUACCCGAGUAC